rnacentral:rRNA from 1 species
UAGUAACGGCGAGUGAAGAGGGAAAAGCUCAAAUUUUAAAUCUGGUGUUUUGACUCCCGAGUUGUAAUCUAGAGAAGUGUUUUCCGUGUCGGACCGUGUACAAGUUCCUGGAACGGGGCGUCAUAGAGGGUGAGAAUCCCGUAUAUGCCACGGACUACCGAUGCUCGUGAUACACUCUCAACGAGUCGAGUUGUUUGGGAAUGCAGCUCAAAAUGGGUGGUAAAUCCAUCUAAAGCUAAAUAUUGGCGAGAGACCGAUAGCGAACAAGUACCGUGAGGGAAAGAGAAAAGCACUUUGGAAAGAGAGUGAAACAGUACGUGAAAUUGUUGAAAGGGAAACGCUUAAAGU